GAUGAACGCUGGCGGCGUGCCUAAUACAUGCAAGUCGAGCGAACAGACGAGGAGCUUGCUCCUCUGACGUUAGCGGCGGACGGGUGAGUAACACGUGGAUAACCUACCUAUAAGACUGGGAUAACUUCGGGAAGCCGGAGCUAAUACCGGAUAAUAUAUUGAACCGCAUGGUUCAAUAGUGAAAGACGGUUUUGCUGUCACUUAUAGAUGGAUCCGCGCCGCAUUAGCUAGUUGGUAAGGUAACGGCUUACCAAGGCGACGAUGCGUAGCCGACCUGAGAGGGUGAUCGGCCACACUGGAACUGAGACACGGUCCAGACUCCUACGGGAGGCAGCAGUAGGGAAUCUUCCGCUAUGGGCGAAAGCCUGACGGAGCAACGCCGCGUGAGUGAUGAAGGUCUUCGGAUCGUAAAACUCUGUUAUUAGGGAAGAACAAAUGUGUAAGUAACUAUGCACGUCUUGACGGUACCUAAUCAGAAAGCCACGGCUAACUACGUG
rnacentral:rRNA from 1 species